UUCCUCUUUCCCCGGGUCUGUCCCACUCUGGAAGUCACUGGCCUGUGCUCUCCCCUCCCUUGGUUUCUGCAUCUUCAUUUCCAAAGGCAAAUGAAAAUAGCGCUAGGCUGUGCAAAUGGGCCACUCCCAUUUUCCCCAAAAUAUUUGGUAGUUAGAACUUGGACCUGAUUCCAGCAGCACUGGGAUCAGAGCUACGGCCAAAGCGAAAGCCAAAUUGGAUUUUGUGAAGGAGGUGGUCCCUUGUCGUUUUCAUCUCCAGAUAGAAGACCUCUGUUUUCCCAGAAGAUAAAAUAAUAGAAAAGCAGUAGCCCAAGGCGGGUGACUCUGCAAACAGAAUCCAGAAUCCAGUUCUCCAGGAACACAAGCAAACACCAGUCCUGAGUGUCAGUGGUUCGUUUCCCGUCCCGAGUUCCCUUCAUUGGGCAAAUGCCGGAACACCUGCUGGCUAGGGUUUGGACACAGGAGACUGACCUCGACCCUGAGGGAGCUGACCAUCUCCUAGGGGAAGAGAAGGUGAUGUUUGUAAGCUGUGAUUUGACGGUCCUAUAGGAGUUUACUAGAGGAAAUGGGGGAUGAGGAAUGAGCAUUGCAGGCCAGAGGACGCCCGAGGUGUAAGACCUGAAAGAAGGCAUGGUGGUGUGCGUGUCAAGAGAUGGAGCAGGUAGCAUGUGAUAAGCUGGGGAGGAGCCAAUAAGGAAUUCUCUGAGCCAGAGAGAGGAGUGUGGACUUUAUCCCAACAAGGCACGCCACCCACGCCCUGCUGCUUUAUUCCUGUCCCUAGUCCCACUGUGACUGGUUUGGCCUUCUGCAUCCCACUGGCCCUUGCCUAGCCUCGAGCUUGCCCAUGCGUCAGAAUCAUCUGUAAAGUUCAAAAAAAUACAGCUGUUUGAACAUCACCUGGACUAAAUCAGAAUCUUUGAAGAGAUACCUGUGAUUUUAAAUGACAGGAACCAAGAGCUUCGAGCCUAAAGUGGGUGAAAAGUGAUUUCUACCUGGAGAAAGUUACUGCUUCACUGUGCAGAAGGAGGUGCCCUGGUCCUUGCCUGAAGGCUGGAGGAGGUGGCUCAGAAGAGGCAGGUGGGUGAGGAUGCCACUUAGUGUCCCCCAGGAGGAAGUGAGCAGUCUGGCUCCUGUACGAGGGGCACUUAGGUUUCUUCCAAGUCUUGGCUAUUGUGAGUAAUGCUGCAGUGAACACAAAGGUGCUUGUAUCUUUUUAAACAACAAACACGUAGAUACAGAGAACAGAUUGGUG
rnacentral:lncRNA from 1 species